CUCAACCCGGGAACUGCGUCCGAUACUGGGAGGCUUGAAUCCGGGAGAGGGAUGUGGAAUUCCAGGUGUAGCGGUGAAAUGCGUAGAUAUCUGGAGGAACACCGGUGGCGAAGGCGGCAUCCUGGACCGGUAUUGACGCUGAGGCGCGAAAGCUAGGGGAGCAAACGGGAUUAGAUACCCCGGUAGUCCUAGCCCUAAACGAUGAAUGCUUGGUGUGGCGGGUAUCGAUCCCUGCCGUGCCGAAGCUAACGCAUUAAGCAUUCCGCCUGGGGAGUACGGUCGCAAUGCUGAAACUCAAAGGAAUUGACGGGGGCCCGCACAAGCGGUGGAGCAUGUGGUUUAAUUCGACGCAACGCGAAGAACCUUACCCAGGCUUGAACUGCAGAUGACAUCCUACGAAAGUAGGCUUCCGCAAGGACAUCUGUAGAGGUGCUGCAUGGCUGUCGUCAGCUCGUGUCGUGAGAUGUUGGGUUAAGUCCCGCAACGAGCGCAACCCUUGUCUUCUGUUGCCAUCAGGUUAAGCUGGGCACUCUGAAGAGACUGCCGGUGACAAACCGGAGGAAGGUGGGGAUGACGUCAAGUCAGCAUGGCCUUUAUGUCUGGGGCCACACACGUGCUACAAUGGCCGGUACAAACCGUUGCAAACUCGCGAGGGUGAGCUAAUCGGAUAAAGCUGGUCUCAGUUCGGAUUGUAGGCUGCAACUCGCCUGCAUGAAGUUGGAAUCGCUAGUAAUCGCGGAUCAGCACGCCGCGGUGAUACGUUCCCGGGCCUUGUACACACCGCCCGUCACAUCACGAAAGCCGGCUGUACUAGAAGUCGCUGCGCUAACCC
rnacentral:rRNA from 1 species